UUUGGAAUGAGAUUAUCUGGCCAAGGACCUCACACAAAGGCCAUCUUUCACACACUGAACUGUCUUUCUCCUUUAUUCUUUUAUUGUGAAAAAAAAAAAAAAUCCUAGGAAAUAAACCAGUGCUCUAGGAGCACUUGCCUUGGCUAUUCAGGGCUUGUUGAUAGAACGAUAGGAGACAGAAUGUUUUAUAUAGUACAGUUUGAGAUUUAAAAGGGGGAAAAAAAGAGUCAGCUUGUCAUAAAGGCUCAUUGUUACACAGCUGUCUCAUAAAAGGGCUGUGAACCAUUAAGCUAUAGUGAGAACAGAAAGCCUGAAGCUGGAAAGGCAGCGUUCAUGCUGGUGUGUCCAAUGCCAUCCCCUGGCAGAGAGCAUGUAUAACCUUUAUUCAACUCUUACUUGUUGACACUUUCCUCAAUUAGGGUGUGAGGCAAGUCUUCUGGAGUUGCAUUUGUCCAGCUUUGCUCAGCUGAAAAAAAGACAGCACUUCACUAUUAUUGAUCCUUUUCUAAGUGUUUGGGCUUCACAAGAAUGCUUUGUUUCAACAAAAAAAAAAAAAAGUGGGGGGAGAGAAAAGGGAAAGAAAAGGAAAAAAAGGAGGGAUUGAAAAGAAACCAACCAUUUGUAAACCUGGGGCAUGGUUACAAUACAACCCCGUAACCAUGUGGUACUCUUGUUUAGCAAGCUGAGAACAAUUUUCGGAGGCAUCCAACAACGCAGAACUGGUUGGUUGAAUAUAUAUUUGAAAACAACAACAAUAACACUAUGAACCAAAAAGAGAAUUUUUGACCCACUAGAAUUUUUGUGCUAUUAAAUGUACUUGAUGGCAAGUUGAUUUAACAUUUAUUGAAAGCCUAUAAGGUACAUGGUACUGUAACAGAUAUUUGAUAUAAACAGAGAGAAAUUGUGGUCCCUGUCAAUCCAAUAGAAUGUAUGUUUCUUGAAGGCAAAAACUGUUCCGUUUUUACUUUCUUUUUACUCUUUCGGCUUAGCACUGGGCCUGAUACUAGGAGGCACUUAAUUAAUGCUUGUUACAUUUUAUUGUCCUUACAGAGUUUGUUAUCUACAGGAGACUUGGGGAAAUGGGAGAAUAAAAUACUUCUUUAGUAGGCUAAAAUUGUUUUCUCUCCUGAAGCAUGGAAACAGCCCUCCUCAGAUUGUGAUGGAAUGGCCCCUUUCCUUUGAAAGAGUGGAGAAGUUUUUAGAGACAAGAAGUCUGUGGAUUCAGGGGAGGAUGUAAGGAGGAACCAGUUUGCUUCUUUAACGAGAGGAAGCCAGUGUGGCAGGACCAGGCAUCCAUACUUAGCCUUCUCCCCUUGAAGGAGCUGGUUCUCAUGCAGAGACAUUCAAACUUCCCUUAGGAUUCCCCCCCCCCAUCUCCCCCUCAACCUACUUAUAAAAUUCUCAACUUUCAGGCUAUUUCAAUUCUUCCCACUCCUACAGGAAAAGGAUAAAUUUCUUCAAUCACCUUUAUCUCAUGUACCUUGGGGCCUCAAAUAAACAAGUCCACAGUAGACAACAAA